AGACCUUGAAGGGAAUCUUCUAGGGCAGGGAAGAAGUAUCCGUUGACUCCAAGUACAAGAACAUACCAUGUCCAAAGCUGACCAGUUCUCUGGUGGUUACUGCUACUGAUCCAUCCAAACUGCUGGACUUGUCCUUCAUACCCAAGGUCUUCAGGCAGUAUCUAAUGGGAAGUCAACUCAAAAAGGAACCAGACCAUCAUUUCCUGGCCCCUUUAUUCUGUAACUACCUCUAUGUGAGGAAAGGAUAGAAAACAUUCAAGACAUGGGCUUAAGAUCUACAGAUUCCAACCAGUAGCAGUGGCUGACUCCUACACAGAAGACUGGGAACUGCAAACAGGCUGGGGUCACCUCAGUGACAUCUGACGCUGUCCAACCAGAAGUCUGACUUGUAUGUGCGUGUGCUGCAGGAAUUGAAAAAUUACU
rnacentral:lncRNA from 1 species